UACGGAGGGGGCGAGCGUUAUUCGGAAUCAUUGGGCGUAAAGGGCGCGUAGGCGGCCCCGUAAGUCUUGGGUGAAAGCCCUCGGCUCAACCGAGGAAUUGCCUUGGAUACUGCGGGGCUCGAGGCUGGAAGAGGGCAGUGGAAUUCCUGGUGUAGCGGUGGAAUGCGCAGAUAUCAGGAGGAACACCGGUGGCGAAGGCGGCUUCCUGGACCGACACGUGACGCUGGAGGCGCGAAAGCUAGGGGAGCAAACGGG
rnacentral:rRNA from 1 species